rnacentral:rRNA from 1 species
GAAACUUAAAGGAAUUGGCGGGGGAGCACAGCAACGGGAGGAGCGUGCGGUUUAAUUGGAUUCAACGCCGGAAAACUCACCGGAGGCGACGGUUACAUGAAGGCCAGGCUGAUGACCUUGCCUGAUUUUCCGAGAGGUGGUGCAUGGCCGCCGUCAGUUCGUACCGUAAGGCGUUCUGUUAAGUCAGAUAACGAACGAGACCCUCAUCCUUAAUUGCUACUAAUGACUUCGGUUGUUAGGCACAUUAAGGAGACCGCUGACGAUAAGUCAGAGGAAGGCGAGGGCAACGGUAGGUCAGUAUGCCCUGAAUCCUCCGGGCUACACGCGCGCUACAAAGGCCAGGACAAUGGGUUUCGACACCGAAAGGUGGAGGUAAUCCCGAAACCUGGUCAUAGUUCGGAUUGAGGGCUGAAACUCGCCCUCAUGAAGCUGGAUUCCGUAGUAAUCGCGGAUCAACAUCCCGCGGUGAAUAUGCCCCUGCUCCUUGCACACACCGCCCGUCAAACCAUGCGAGUUGGGUUCAAGUGAGGAUGUAGUAUUUUGCUGCGUUCAAACUUGGGCUUAGCAAGCGGGGUUAAGUCGUAACAA